AAUCCAGAGAUGGAUUUGUGCCUUCGGGAACUGUGAGACAGGUGCUGCAUGGCUGUCGUCAGCUCGUGUUGUGAAAUGUUGGGUUAAGUCCCGCAACGAGCGCAACCCUUAUCCUUUGUUGCCAGCGGUUAGGCCGGGAACUCAAAGGAGACUGCCAGUGAUAAACUGGAGGAAGGUGGGGAUGACGUCAAGUCAUCAUGGCCCUUACGACCAGGGCUACACACGUGCUACAAUGGCGCAUACAAAGAGAAGCGACCUCGC
rnacentral:rRNA from 1 species